rnacentral:lncRNA from 1 species
CUGAAACCUGGAUGAACAUGCUCUCCUGAACUGUACCAUGAGCAUUUAAAUGGAUAUGUAAUUGGAUAGGGGCAUAGGCUGGAAGGCCCACUCAUCAGGAAAGCUUCUGCCUGUGUAUUCAAAUGCCUUUCAAUCCUUUGUAGCCCACUGAGAGAAGGGAAAAAAACUCAAUGCUGGUGCCAGGGACAAGAAUCUUGAGGUAGCAGGCAGGUAAUGCCUUCCGAGUGAAGGCUUUAUUAUA